rnacentral:tRNA from 1 species
GGGGGUGUAGCAUAAAGUAAUGCAUCUCACUUACUCUGAGAGAGAUCUUUUUAAUAAAGCAUUCCUU